UCGACACAAGCAUUGUAGUCGGGACCAACCUGAAUCCAACUCCCAGAGCUCUCUGAUCUGAAGUAUAAUUACUUAACCUACCUAGGCCUCUUAUUUCUUCAUCUGCAGAAUGGGUUUCACGUAGCUAACGUGAAGUUACAUUCUUCCUACAAAGCACAGCGCCAGGCGCAUCGUGAGCGCUGCAAAACACUAGCCGCGAUUCCUUACAAAAGAGCUCGCUAAUUGUACACCACGUCCAACAGGCACCAUCAAUGAAAAAAAAAAAGUAAGUUAGAUUUUUGUUACGUGCUUUGGCUGCACGCUAAUUUGAUCACUGGGUGACCAUUCCCGAAUGGAAGAUUCCCCGAUAGGAAACUUUAACCUCCCCAUGCUCAAAGUAGGGGGAAGUUUAAAAAAAAAAAAAAAAAAACUGAAAAAUAUGGCUCAAUCGAGAGUAUUGUUCUCCAUCUGGAAAUGAAAUUAAAAAGAAAAAAAAACUAUUGAAAAUUAAGAAAAGUUUCAGGACGAACUUUGAAAGGCACUCGGCGGCUCGCAUGGACCACCGGCCUCACCUCUGCAGGUUGGGUGGGGGCCCAUCGUUAGGGCAAAACUUGUCCCACUCUGCUCCUCGUCGGGAAGGAAGGAAGCUAAGCCUACAACAUGACGUUUAGGGAGGCCGGGAUCGCUACGGCAGGACACGCCAAGGACCGCACCGCACGCAGUGGGAGUAUAUAAUCUUUUGACAGUGUCCUUGCCACUAUCCCCCCUGAACCUUCCUCUGAGGAGCCUGCAGGCUUUGGUGCACAGCCAAGAAGGAAUUACAAAGACUUAACAAGGAUGAGAACCGAGGAGAGGCCUGGAUUGGCUCAAAAGGGACACUGGUGACCUUUCAAAGUACGACUGCGGUCCUGUGGUUGUGACAGGAGCUGAAUUUCAUGCAUUGAAGCUCAUCCUUUGUUGUCUAUAACUAUGGAUUCUGUGGAGCCCAUUUUAACUCAUUCAGCCCUGAGUCUCGUCUCCCUUCCGUCCAACUCUACAGUCUCAUUUCCAUGAGUUGACAUCUCUUCAAACUUCAAACCAACAAGGAAUGGAGCCGCUCACAGUUCACCAAAGCAGAAGUUCUGACCAGCCAACCUAUGCUGCUUCCAGGUCUGAGAACGACACUCGGAGAUGACAGCACAUAGUGGAUGAGACAUCCACAGCCGACCUGCAGGUGAUCUGUGUAUCUAGCCAACUCAAGC